CAUGCCGUAAACGAUGAGUGCUAAGUGUUAGGGGGUUUCCGCCCCUUAGUGCUGCAGCUAACGCAUUAAGCACUCCGCCUGGGGAGUACGACCGCAAGGUUGAAACUCAAAGGAAUUGACGGGGGCCCGCACAAGCAGUGGAGUAUGUGGUUUAAUUCGAAGCAACGCGAAGAACCUUACCAGGUCUUGACAUCCAACUAACGAAGCAGAGAUGCAUCAGGUGCCCUUCGGGGAAAGUUGAGACAGGUGG
rnacentral:rRNA from 1 species